UACGUAGGUGGCAAGCGUUGUCCGGAUUUAUUGGGCGUAAAGCGAGCGCAGGCGGAAAAAUAAGUCUGAUGUGAAAGCCCUCGGCUUAACCGAGGAACUGCAUCGGAAACUGUUUUUCUUGAGUGCAGAAGAGGAGAGUGGAACUCCAUGUGUAGCGGUGGAAUGCGUAGAUAUAUGGAAGAACACCAGUGGCGAAGGCGGCUCUCUGGUCUGCAACUGACGCUGAGGCUCGAAAGCAUGGGUAGCGAACAGG
rnacentral:rRNA from 1 species